rnacentral:misc_RNA from 1 species
AAGGCUCUCUCCCAAGCCUUCAAAGAUGUCAAGCAGCCCAUUGUAUGACAGAGAGUUGAAUCCAGGGCGCCAUGAAGACAACCAUGUGCUCUCAUUCGAUGCAGCUGUUCGGUCGGUGUCUCAAGAAUUCGAUCACUUCAAGGAGAUUCCUGAAGAAGACCAGUUUGAUAAGAGAAGCCCUGCUUCAAGAGAAUUCAGAGAGAUCGAGGAAGAACCAGAAACCAGCAAACCUGCUCACACAUUUGAUUCUGGUCUUGGCAACUCAAUUUCAAUUUCUCAGCAUCAAACCCUUGAUAAUGGAUCAGCCUCUGAGAUAUGUCCGGAGAUUAAAG